rnacentral:rRNA from 1 species
AGCAGUCGCCGCGGGAAUACGUAGGUGGCAAGCGUUGUCCGGAAUUAUUGGGCGUAAAGGGCUCGCAGACGGUUUCUUAAGUCUGAUGUGAAAGCCCCCGGCUCAACCGGGGAGGGUCAUUGGAAACUGGGAAACUUGAGUGCAGAAGAGGAGAGUGGAAUUCCACGUGUAGCGGUGAAAUGCGUAGAGAUGUGGAGGAACACCAGUGGCGAAGGCGACUCUCUGGUCUGUAACUGACGCUGAGGAGCGAAAGCGUGGGGAGCGAACAGGAUUAGAUACCCCCGUAGUCCCUGUCUCUUAUAC